rnacentral:tRNA from 1 species
AAGGAUUUAAGUUAAGUUAAACUCUCAGCCUUCAAAGUUGGAAAUAGAUUUUAUCUAAGCCUUA